rnacentral:rRNA from 1 species
CAAUAGCGUAUAUUAAAGUUGUUGCAGUUAAAAAGCUCGUAGUUGGAUUUCUGGUAGGAGCGACCGUGCCGAACUUGAUUGCUCGAGUAUUGUGUUGUCUUCAGCCAUCCUCGUGGAGAACUUUUCUAACAUUAACUUGUUGGGAUUGGGACCCGCGUCGUUUACUGUGAAAAAAUUAGAGUGUUUAAAGCAGGCAUUAGCUUGAAUACAUUAGCAUGGAAUAAUAAGAUAGGACUUUGGUACUAUUUUGUUGGUUUGCAUACCAAAUUAAUGAUCAACAGGAACAGUUUGAGGAUAUUCGUAUGAACAUGUCAGAGGUGAAAUUCUUGGAUUUUGAUCAGACGAACUACUGCGAAAGCAUUUAUCAAGGAUGUUUUCAUUAA